GCCUGUAGCUCAAUGCCGUCGGCUCAUAACCGAUUGGUUGCAGGUUCGAGUCCUGCCGGGC
rnacentral:tRNA from 1 species